AAUGCGCACGAGUGCCAUUAACACGUGAUUGAUGAGCCAGUCUUUUUCCUGAAUUCGCGUUUGCUUUUGUUGCAAAUAGUUUCCUGGGAAAGAAGAGCGAGCAAAUAGAAAAGGGAGAGUGGGAAGACCCAUUUCCGGUGAGGAGAUGGCAUCUCAGAGGGGCUACAUGACUUGCUGAAUGUUGCCCAAAUGUUAAGUCACAGGCCUUGAACUCAGGACUUCUCAACUCAGAAUCCGGCCCCCCUUCCCUGGCUGUGAGUCAUCUCAGCUUCAUGGACCUGCGUUGAGAUGGGAGAGCUACAGGCCCUGUAGCUGCCAAUGGGUGAAAGCUGCGGGCUUCAUCCCUGUGUAUGUAAGGAGAGCUUAGACAGACGGACAGAUGGGUAGGCACUCAUACUUACACCCCCGCACGUGGACUCUCAGUUCCUAAGACCUGGAUAGGCACAGAGUUUCAUACUUUGGCCCUUACACAGUGCGAGAUCUGCUUAAGUGAUGGUCAUCCCUUCCAAUCAAUAUGGCGGCUUCAUCUCAAUGGCAAUCCCUGGAGACCUUGGUGACCAAGGAGGAGCGUACCAGGAGCAAAUUAUGAGAGACCUUCGCUGAAGCAUGAUCAGCUUGGUUUCUGGCUUCUUGGUUCCUUGGUUCCUCUUGACCAUGUG